rnacentral:rRNA from 1 species
UACGGAGGGGGCGAGCGUUAUUCGGAAUUAUUGGGCGUAAAGGGCGCGUAGGCGGCUUGGCAAGUCAAAGGUGAAAUCCCUCGGCUCAACUGAGGAACUGCCUUUGAAACUGCCUGGCUUGAGGCCGGGAGGGGGUAGCGGAAUUCCCAGUGUAGCGGUGAAAUGCGUAGAUAUUGGGAGGAACACCAGUGGCGAAGGCGGAUCUCUGGGCCUUACCUGACGCUGAGGCGCGAAAGCUAGGGGAGCGAACAGG